UGAUUGUUUGUUGUCCAGCAA
rnacentral:piRNA from 1 species